UGGGGAAUAUUGGACAAUGGGGGGCACUCUGAUCCAGCCAUGCCGCGUGUGUGAAGAAGGCCUUAUGGUUGUAAAGCACUUUAAGCGAGGAGGAGGGUACUGGUAUUAAUACUACCAGCUACUGGACGUUACUCGCAGAAUAAGCACCGGCUAACUCUGUGCCAGCAGCCGCGGUAAUACAGAGGGUGCGAGCGUUAAUCGGAUUUACUGGGCGUAAAGCGUGCGUAGGCGGCUAAUUGCGUCGGAUGUGAAAUCCCCGAGCUUAUCUUGGGAAUUGCAUUCGAUACUGGUUAGCUAGAGUGUGGGAGAGGAUGGUAGAAUACCAGGUGUAGCGGUGAAAUGCGUAGAGAUCUGGAGGAAUACCGAUAGCGAAGACAGCCAUCUGGCCUAACACUGACGCUGAGGUACGAAAGCAUGGGGAGCAAACAGG
rnacentral:rRNA from 1 species